rnacentral:tRNA from 1 species
GGGCUGGGGCUCAGUGGUAGAGUGCUCACCUAGCACGUGAGAGGCGCUGGGUUGGAUCCUCAGCACCACA